CUUCCAGGAGUGAAAGCUGUGCCUUUAAUACUCAUUGAGAGAGAUACCCAAGAGAGAGAGUUCUGCCCUGAAGGGAAAAGUUGAGGGAAACUGGGGAUUCGGCUACACUUGCCCCGACCCAUGCUUUGCUGGAUUGAGAAUAAAGUGCAGAAGAGUUUGCAGAGCUGAGGGUUUACAGUGGAAGCAUUCGAAAAUCAGGGAGCAAAGACGGACAAAGAACAGAAUGUAAGAGAAAAUGGUGAGCUAAUACAACAAUUUAGCAAAUUGCAGAGAGUAGCUUCUCAUUGCUGUAUUGAUUGAGGGGAA
rnacentral:lncRNA from 1 species